UGUCCGGUAGCUCAGUGGCAGAGCAGGUGACUGUUAAUCACUUGGUCGCUGGUUCGAUCCCAGCCCGGACAGCCA
rnacentral:tRNA from 1 species